UGCUUACUUCGGCAGUAAUACACUAAAAUUGGAAAUAUAAGGAGAAGAUAAGCAUGGCCCCUGUGCUAGAUUGACAUGCAAAUUUGUGAAAGCAUUCCAUAUUUUU
ensembl:snRNA U6 U6 spliceosomal RNA